UAGAGGAUAGUAUAGGUGGUAGUACGCAAAGUUUUGAGCUUUGAUGUGUGGGUUCGUAACCCAUUCUUCUAA
rnacentral:tRNA from 1 species